rnacentral:tRNA from 1 species
CUAGCUCAGUCGGUAGAGCGCACGACUCUUAAUCGUGUGGUCGGGGGUUCGAGCCCCC